rnacentral:tmRNA from 1 species
GGGGCUGCAAUGGUUUCGACGGGGUAUCAGGAGAGUGACUGAAGCCUGCUCGGUCAGAGCAAAACCAUAACUGCUAACAACAUCGUUAGUUUCUCCCGUCAAACAGCCCCUGUUGCUGCUUGAUCUUUUAGGAGAUGGGGUCAGGUCAUCCUUAUUACCCAAUUGAUCCACGAGGCCUGCAAGGGCCUCACUCUC